rnacentral:rRNA from 1 species
GCCAGCCCGCUCAGAAACUCAAAUGAAUUGACGGGGGCCCGCACAAGCGGUGGAGCAUGUGGUUUAAUUCGAUGAUACGCGAGGAACCUUACCUGGGCUCAAAUGUAUGUUGACGUAUUCUGAAAGGGAUACUUCUUCGGACAAUAUACAAGGUGCUGCAUGGUUGUCGUCAGCUCGUGCCGUGAGGUGUCGGGUUAAGUCCCAUAACGAGCGCAACCCUAUUGCUAGUUACCAUCAUUAAGUUGGGGACUCUAGCGAGACUGCCAGUGAUAAACUGGAGGAAGGUGGGGAUGACGUCAAAUCAUCAUGCCCCUUAUGACCUGGGCUACAAACGUGAUACAAUGGCUGGAACAAAGGGAUGCGAAGCAGUGAUGUGGAGCGAAACCCAUAAAAACAGUCUCAGUUCGGAUUGAAGUCUGCAACUCGACUUCAUGAAGUCGGAAUCGCUAGUAAUCGCGGAUCAGAACGCCGCGGUGAAUACGUUCUCGGGGUUU